AGCAGUGUCGUCUAGUGGCAAGGCUAUGGGUUUGGGAGUCAGAGGACGUGGGUUCUAAUCCUCGCGCUGCUA
rnacentral:tRNA from 1 species